AAGAUCAUACUUCACAGGAUCAUUUCUGUAGUGUAUCUUCAUUAUCCCUCUAUCCAACAAUAGAGUUGAUGCAGCCAUGAUGACGAGGCAUAACUCUUCUUUCUGAGCGUGAGGACGACUCGAAAGCGCGAUCAUUUCGUGCUUUCAGUCAUCGAUGAUCGUUCACCUCAGGCAUUCUUGCUCGAGGCAUGAAGGAAGAGUAAUCUGAGUGGU